AAGUAUUCCACCUUGACACACACCUUUAUAAGAAAGACGAGGUCCUAUUAACUGCUUGUUAACUUUAACAAAAACUUCUCUACCAUUUAAAAAGUUAUAGACCCAGUUUAUAAUUUUUCCAGGUAUACCAAUAGAAACAAGUUCCAGAGUAAGAAUGUGAUGAUUGACAUUAUUGAAUGCACCGAUAAUAUCAAAGAAUACCCCAAUCAAAACUUCAUUGCAUUUAAGUGCUUUAAAUAUAUCAAUAUGGAGAUGAGUAACACUUUCAGAGGCAGAUUUACCUCUACGAAAACCAAACUGGUUUGCUUGUAAAUGGUAGCUACCUAAGGGAUCAUUAUGUACCAUCCAAUUUGAAGCAAGAGAUAAGCAAGGGGAUGCAAUAGUAAGGUCAAGUGCAUUACUCUGCCAUCUGUGUGAUCCUACUGUAGUCGGUGUACCAUCAUUUAAGAUGACCAAGUUGUUACCAUCAAUACAUUCAAGAAUGUCACGACCACGAGCAUUAAUAGAUGAGCAACCCCAUGCUGUGUGAUGAGCAUUAAAAUCACCAGCAACCAACAUGGGUUCUGGAAUACUAUUAAGAAGAUUACUGAAUUUAUUUUUGUUAAAACGUGGACUACAAUUAUUUGGGCUAUAAAAACUAACAACUGACA